rnacentral:rRNA from 1 species
GGAAUAUUGGACAAUGGCCGAGAGGCUGAUCCAGCCAUGCCGCGUGCGGGAGGACGGCCCUAUGGGUUGUAAACUGCUUUUAUACGGGGAUAAAGUGACCCACGUGUGGGUUUUUGUAGGUACCGUAUGAAUAAGGACCGGCUAAUUCCGUGCCAGCAGCCGCGGUAAUACGGAAGGUCCGGGCGUUAUCCGGAUUUAUUGGGUUUAAAGGGAGCGCAGGCUGAUGAUUAAGCGUGACGUGAAAUGUAGCCGCUCAACGGCUGAACUGCGUCGCGAACUGGUUAUCUUGAGUGAGUUCGAUGUUGGCGGAAUUCGUGGUGUAGCGGUGAAAUGCUUAGAUAUCACGAAGAACUCCGAUUGCGAAGGCAGCCAACAAGGCCUUUACUGACGCUAAAGCUCGAAGGUGCGGGUAUCGAACA